rnacentral:rRNA from 1 species
UACAUGGGGUGCAAACGUUGCUCGGAAUUAUUGGGCGUAAAGCGCACGUAGGCGGUUCGUUAAGUCGGAUGUGAAAGCCCUCGGCUCAACUGAGGAAGUGCACCCGAAACUGGCGAGCUUGAGUACGAAAGAGGAUCGCGGAAUUCCCGGUGUAGAGGUGAAAUGCGCAGAUAUCAGGAGGAACACCGGUGGCGAAGGCGGGUCUCUGGGCAAUAACUGACGCUGAGGAGCGAAAGCGUGGGGAGCGAACAGG